rnacentral:rRNA from 1 species
UGGGGAAUAUUGCACAAUGGGGGAAACCCUGAUGCAGCGACGCCGCGUGAGCGAUGAAGUAUUUCGGUAUGUAAAGCUCUAUCAGCAGGGAAGAAAAUGACGGUACCUGACUAAGAAGCCCCGGCUAACUACGUGCCAGCAGCCGCGGUAAUACGUAGGGAGCGAGCGUUGUCCGGAUUUACUGGGUGUAAAGGGUGCGUAGGCGGAUCUGCAAGUCAGUAGUGAAAUCCCAGGGCUUAACCCUGGAACUGCUAUUGAAACUGUGGGUCUUGAGUGAGGUAGAGGCAGGCGGAAUUCCCGGUGUAGCGGUGAAAUGCGUAGAUAUUAGGAGGAACACCAGUGGCGAAGGCGGCUUACUGGACGGUGACUGACGUUGAGGCUCGAAGGCGUGGGGAGCAAACAGGAUUAGAUACCC